rnacentral:rRNA from 1 species
CCUACGGGUUGCAGCAGGGGGGAAUAUUGCACAAUGGGCGCAAGCCUGAUGCAGCCAUGCCGCGUGUAUGAAGAAGGCCCUAGGGUUGUAAAGUACUUUCAGUCGGGAGGAAGGCGUUGAUGCUAAUAUCAUCAACGAUUGACGUUACCGACAGAAGAAGCACCGGCUAACUCCGUGCCAGCAGCCGCGGUAAUACGGAGGAUGCAAGCGUUAAUCGGAAUUACUGGGCGUAAAGCGCACGCAGGCGGUUGAUUAAGUUAGAUGUGAAAUCCCCGGGCUUAACCUGGGAAUGGCAUCUAAGACUGGUCAGCUAGAGUCUUGUAGAGGGGGGUAGAAUUCCAGGUGUAGCGGUGAAAUGCGUAGAGAUCUGGAGGAAUACCGGUGGCGAAGGCGGCCCCCUGGACAAAGACUGACGCUCAGGUGCGAAAGAGUGGGGAGCAAACAGGAUUAGAUACCCGCGUAGUC